GAACGCUGGCGGCAGGCCUAACACAUGCAAGUCGAACGGUAACAGGAAGCAGCUUGCUGCUUCGCUGACGAGUGGCGGACGGGUGAGUAAUGUCUGGGAAGCUGCCUGAUGGAGGGGGAUAACUACUGGAAACGGUAGCUAAUACCGCAUAAUGUCGCAAGACCAAAGAGGGGGACCUUCGGGCCUCUUGCCAUCGGAUGUGCCCAGAUGGGAUUAGCUUGUUGGUGGGGUAACGGCUCACCAAGGCGACGAUCCCUAGCUGGUCUGAGAGGAUGACCAGCCACACUGGGACUGAGACACGGUCCAGACUCCUACGGGAGGCAGCAGUGGGGAAUAUUGCACAAUGGGCGCAAGCCUGAUGCAGCCAUGCCGCGUGUAUGAAGAAGGCCUUCGGGUUGUAAAGUACUUUCAGCGGGGAGGAAGGGAGUAAAGUUAAUACCUUUGCUCAUUGACGUUACCCGCAGAAGAAGCACCGGCUAACUCCGUG
rnacentral:rRNA from 1 species